CUGAUCGAUCCUGCCAGUAGCAUAUGCUUGCCUCAAAGAUUAAGCCAUGCAUGUCUAAGUACACACAGCCAUUCAGUCAAACUGCAAAUGGCUCAUUAAACCAGUUAUGGUCCCUUUGGUCACUGACUUUUCUUCUACUUGCCUGCCAUGGUGGCCACAGGUGACAGUGAAUCAGGGUUUGAUUUCAGAGAGGGAGCCUGAGAAAUGGCUACCACAGCCAAGGAAGGCAGCAGGCGCACAAAUUACCCACUCCUGACUUGGGAAGGUAGUGACAAAAAAUAACAAUACAGGACUCUUUCAAAGCACUGUAAUUGCAAUGAGGGAUAAUGCUUGGCAUAAGGU
rnacentral:ncRNA from 1 species